UUUUCUUGAAAUUUUAGUAUGUUGUACCUUAACAUGUCAACUUAGGAUCUGGAAAGUUUCAAGUUCAUUGCUCUUAAAAUGAAUUUUUACUAAUUUUCUCAACUUGAGCUGUUCCAACCCUUAUAUCUCUUUGUCCUGUGUCCUACCUUGAUAGUCCUUGAUUCUGUUGAAUCGAUUUCCAAUGGUUCAGUACUAUCUGGCUUUCCAUAUGAGAACCUUUAAAUUCUAGAUAUAGGUAGUGUUACAUAUUAGAAGCAAAUAAAGAAUUUAGACACCGAGUUAUGGAUUUAUAGAAAAUGGAUCAUGGGAAUGAUAGUUUGCGACCUUUAUUAUUAGGAAUGGGGACAUGCAGUGGACUUCGAUCACCAAAGGAACAAUGAUAGAGGUGGUGGCUAGUUCGCUGAUAUGUUUUCCAUUGCUAAGCUAUCAAGCUACUUCAUAUUCGAUUCUAGGUAGGGAGGCUCCACCCUAGUUAGUGCUCUUUUGCUUUCUUUUUAUGGUUUGAAGUGGUUUUUAAGAUUUAACAUUUGAGUUCAUGAGAUGACUUGAGAGUGAGCGGGGCAUAGCGACUUCCUUGGGUUUCGCUCCCCUAAACCUCUGGAGGGGCUGUACGGACGGGGCGUAAAUGGACACUCUCGCUACUCUUCACCUGUUGUUGAAGAUUUAAAUUUUCGGUGAGGAUGUAGUUGGCUAGUAUUAGACCGGUCAUCAGGUUUGAUUUUACCCGGGUACUCUUUCGUUUUCAUAUGGUUUCACAUUGGGAGUUCUUUAUUUAAUUUUUAUUAUAUUUUACUCAACUAGCGCCAAAUACUAUUUAGUUUUAAAACCUAGCUAGGGUUGAUGUUUGAGCAGCGAGGAUGAAAGCUCACCCAUACUAUAGUUGGUCUUGCAGGUACUGUGCACGAGGAUUGAGGAGGAUUUCGGGACUGAUCUGGGUGUGAAUGUUAACUUG
rnacentral:lncRNA from 1 species